rnacentral:rRNA from 1 species
UACGUAGGGUGCGAGCGUUGUCCGGAAUUAUUGGGCGUAAAGGGCUCGUAGGCGGUUUGUCGCGUCGGGAGUGAAAACUCAGGGCUUAACCCUGAGCCUGCUUCCGAUACGGGCAGACUAGAGGUAUGCAGGGGAGAACGGAAUUCCGUGGUGUAGCGGUGAAAUGCGCAGAUAUCAGGAGGAACACCGGUGGCGAAGGCGGGUCUCUGGGCCGAUACUGACGUGAGGAGCGAAAGCGUGGGGAGCGAACAGG